GCGGAAGUGGCGGAACUGGCAGACGCAAUAGCUUGAGGGGCUAUCGCUCAUUAGAGUGUAUGGGUUCGAAUCCCUUCUUCCGCACCA
rnacentral:tRNA from 1 species